CCAGUACAGAGUCAAUGUGGAGGCUAUAUACAGGGGGUACCAGUACAGAGUCAAUGUGGAGGCUAUAUACAGGGGGUACCAGUACAGAGUCAAUGUGGAGGCUAUAUACAGGAGGUACCAGUACAGAGUCAAUGUGGAGGCUAUAUACAGGGGUACCGGUACAGAGUCAAUGUGGAGGCUUUAUACAGGAGGUACCAGUACAGAGUCAAUGUGGAGGCUAUAUACAGGGGUACUGGUACAGAGUCAAUGUACAGAGUCAAUGUGGAGGCUAUAUACAGGGGUACCGGUACAGAGUGAAUGUGGAGGCUAUAUACAGGUGGUACCGGUACAGAGUCAAUGUGGAGGCUAUAUACAGGAGGUACCAGUACAGAGUCAAUGUGGAGGCUAUAUACAGGGGUACCGGUACAGAGUCAAUGUGGAGGCUUUAUACAGGAGGUACCAGUACAGAGUCAAUGUGGAGGCUAUAUACAGGGGUACUGGUACAGAGUCAAUGUACAGAGUCAAUGUGGAGGCUAUAUACAGGGGUACCGGUACAGAGUGAAUGUGGAGGCUAUAUACAGGUGGUACCGGUACAGAGUCAAUGUGGAGGCUAUAUACAGGGGUACUGGUACAGAGUCAAUGUGGAGGCUAUAUACAGGGGGUACCGGUACAGAGUCAAUGUACAGAGUCAAUGUGGAGGCUAUAUAAGUAAUAUGUACAUGUAGGUGGAGUUGUUAAAGUGACUAUGCAUAGAUAAUAACAGAGUAGCAGCAGCAUAGAAGAGGGGGGGAGAGACAAUGCAAAUAGUCUGUAAAGCCAUUUGAUACAAUUUUCAGGAGUCUUAUGUCUUGGGGGUAGAAGCUGUUUAGAAGCCUCUUGAACCUAGACUUGGGGCACCGGUACCACUUGCCGUGCGGUAGCAGAGAGAACAGUCUGACUAGGGUGGCUGGAGUCACUGACAAUUUUUAGGGCCCUCUUCUGACACCGCCUGGAAUCAGAAGUCCUGGAUGGCAGGAAGCUUGGCACCAGUGAUGUACUGGGCCGUAGGCACUACCCUCUGUCGUGCCUUGUGGUUAGAGGCCAAGCAGUUGCCAUACCAGGGAGUGUUGCAACCCGUCAGGAUGCUCUCGAUGGUGCAGCUGUAGAACCUUUUGAGGAUCUGAGUACCCAUACCAAAUCUUAGAAAUACAGCUAAACCUAGGGUAUGGCUAAAUGGGGUGUGUAGAAAUACAGCUAAACUAGGGGUAUGGCUAAAUGGGGUGUGUAGAAAUACAUGUGGGGGUCAGGGAGAGAGUAGAGUUAUGUACUAGACUGGUGGGGGUCAGGAAGAGAGUUAUUUAUAUACUAGACUGGUGGGGGUCAGGGAGAGAGUUGAGUUAUGUACUAGACAGGUGGGGGUCAGGGAGAGAGUUGAGUUAUGUACUAGACUGGUGGGGGUCAGGGAGAGAGUUGAGUUAUGUUCUAGACUGGUGGGGGUCAGGGAGAGAGUUG
rnacentral:lncRNA from 1 species